GGCGACCGGCCACACUGGGACUGAGACACGGCCCAGACUCCUACGGGAGGCAGCAGUGGGGAAUAUUGCGCAAUGGGCGAAAGCCUGACGCAGCAACGCCGCGUGGGGGAUGACGGCCUUCGGGUUGUAAACCCCUUUCAGCAGGGACGAAGCGAAAGUGACGGUACCUGCAGAAGAAGCGCCGGCUAACUACGUGCCAGCAGCCGCGGUAAUACGUAGGGCGCAAGCGUUGUCCGGAAUUAUUGGGCGUAAAGAGCUCGUAGGUGGUUUGUCGCGUCUGCUGUGAAAACCUAAGGCUUAACCUUGGGCUUGCAGUGGAUACGGGCAGACUAGAGGUAGGUAGGGGAGAUGGGAAUU
rnacentral:rRNA from 1 species